rnacentral:lncRNA from 1 species
CUCCCGCCCCCCGGCCCCGGCCCCCGCCCCCCGCGUCCGCCUGCCGCCAGCCGGGGCCGCCCAGAGCUCGCCAUUGGGCCUCGCUCCCGGGGUCCCGCGCGCCGGCCGUGCUGAUUGGCCGCUGGGGCUUCAUUCACGGCCCCCCUGCCGUCCGCGUACACACUCACGCCCCGGGGGCGCGGCCGCCACGUGGGGAGUGGCGCGGGGGUGGCACUGGGACCGCACCCCCUCUCGUCCUGGCUGCGUGGGCCCAGCUUUCCCCCCUCGCUGGAGACUCCGAGCCCGGCGGGUCCCACACUCCACGCGAGCUGAAUUCCCGCCCGUCUUUGGCAGGGGCGGCCGGAGGCGGCGGCGAGGAUGGCGGGCUCCGGGAGGCGCUCGGGCUCCGAGAAGCCGCUCAGCCCCGCGCUCCUCCCUCCGCAGUGCCGCUGCAGGCGGGCCGGGAUUCCGCGGGUCUCGGGAGGCUGCGAGCGAGCGGCGGCGCGGGUCCCCAGCUCGGUUCCAGAGCGGCUGCUCGCCUGGGCCGCCUCGCCUCCCGCAGCUUCCAGCGGGCACGGAGCUCUCCUCCGCGCGCCUCUCCGGCCCGUCUCGUUUUCCCCCUCCUUCCGCUAGACCCAGUGCCGCAACUCCGCCGACCUCCGCGGCCCUGAGAGCGCGUCGGCCGCGGGCAGAGUCAGACCCGCUUCACGCCUCGCGCAGGCUCCCCUUCUCCCGGGCACCGCGGCGCAGGUGCACCUGAGCCCACCCCUGGGAGCUUCUGAUUCUGGCGGCCUCUCUUUGUGGCACAGCUGUGUCCUCCCCUGGUCCACAUCCUGGAGAGGGGGUUGCACUCAAGAGAAACAAGAAGAGAGAGAAGGCUUCUGCUCAUCCCUUCUGUGGAAGUCCCGGUGACCAUGGGGUGAGGUAAGGGCCAUGGACUAGGUGGGGCGGCCUGGGGAGCUGGGCCUGACUUCCUGCGUGUCUAGACUGGCUGUGACGAACUGGGCAAGGACGGGGGUUUCUCCUGCAGGUCUGUGGGCUGAGGGGAGAGUGAC